GGCGUAAAGCGAGUGUAGGUGGCUCAUUAAGUCACAUGUGAAAUCCCCGGGCUUAACCUGGGAACUGCAUGUGAUACUGGUGGUGCUAGAAUAUGUGAGAGGGAAGUAGAAUUCCAGGUGUAGCGGUGAAAUGCGUAGAGAUCUGGAGGAAUACCGAUGGCGAAGGCAGCUUCCUGGCAUAAUAUUGACACUGAGAUUCGAAAGCGUGGGUAGCAAACAGGAUUAGAUACCCUGGUAGUCCACGCCGUAAACGAUGUCUACUAGCCGUUGGGGUCCUUGAGACUUUAGUGGCGCAGUUAACGCGAUAAGUAGACCGCCUGGGGAGUACGGCCGCAAGGUUAAAACUCAAAUGAAUUGACGGGGGCCCGCACAAGCGGUGGAGCAUGUGGUUUAAUUCGAUGCAACGCGAAGAACCUUACCUGGUCUUGACAUAGUGAGAAUCCUGCAGAGAUGCGGGAGUGCCUUCGGGAAUUCACAUACAGGUGCUGCAUGGCUGUCGUCAGCUCGUGUCGUGAGAUGUUGGGUUAAGUCCCGCAACGAGCGCAACCCUUUUCCUUAUUUGCCAGCGGGUUAAGCCGGGAACUUUAAGGAUACUGCCAGUGACAAACUGGAGGAAGGCGGGGACGACGUCAAGUCAUCAUGGCCCUUACGACCAGGGCUACACACGUGCUACAAUGGUAGGUACAGAGGGUUGCUACACAGCGAUGUGAUGCUAAUCUCAAAAAGCCUAUCGUAGUCCGGAUUGGAGUCUGCAACUCGACUCCAUGAAGUCGGAAUCGCU
rnacentral:rRNA from 1 species